rnacentral:piRNA from 1 species
UAAAGUGCUUGCUGCCAAGUUGACAGACC